rnacentral:rRNA from 1 species
UGGGGAAUUUUGGACAAUGGGCGAAAGCCUGAUCCAGCAAUGCCGCGUGUGUGAAGAAGGCCUUCGGGUUGUAAAGCACUUUUGUCCGGAAAGAAAUCCUUGGCUCUAAUACAGUCGGGGGAUGACGGUACCGGAAGAAUAAGCACCGGCUAACUACGUGCCAGCAGCCGCGGUAAUACGUAGGGUGCAAGCGUUAAUCGGAAUUACUGGGCGUAAAGCGUGCGCAGGCGGUUUGCUAAGACCGAUGUGAAAUCCCCGGGCUCAACCUGGGAACUGCAUUGGUGACUGGCAGGCUAGAGUAUGGCAGAGGGGGGUAGAAUUCCACGUGUAGCAGUGAAAUGCGUAGAGAUGUGGAGGAAUACCGAUGGCGAAGGCAGCCCCUGGGCCAAUACUGACGCUCAUGCACGAAAGCGUGGGGAGCAAACAGGAUUAGAUACCCUGGUAGUCCACGCCCUAAAACGAUGUCAACUAGUUGUUGGGGAUUCAUUUCCUUAGUAACGUAGCUAACGCGUGAAGUUGACCGCCUGGGGAGUACGGUCGCAAGAUUAAAACUUAAAUGAAUUGACGGGGUCAUAGCUGUUUCCU